CACCUGAAUAAAAGCUACUUUUUCGAGCAAGCAGGCUUUUUCAGCGCAACAGAUAUCGCAACAACAGCUAGAUAAUUGGACAGAGAUAUUUGAAUUGCGUACCGACGAAAAUUUGCAUAAUUGUGCUUUCCCAGACAGUGGGAUUUUUAGUCCGACCGCUGAAUGCUAAAAAUAUUAGGACAAGUACGAUUUUUUUGGACGAACGAUCUAUAACACCAUCGGACCUCGCGCAGAAAUGGAAACUACACAUGAUUUUUCAAGAUAAACAAUACGAACAACAGCAGAGGGAGCCGGUGAGUGGAGGCGAUUCCUAAACACGCUACAGCACGAGGGGUACACGCGCUAUUAAAAUCCUCCUUGCGAUUAUACAAAUACAUAUUUGAAGGAAGAAGACAGACAAAGGGAAAUCAGCAAAACUGCAAUGGUGACUACACAUGGUCUUCCAAUAUUUUUUAACUCCUUACCCAUUUCUUUAGUUUCUAUAAUCUCAGUUUUAGAAAGGUCGACUAACCCUACGUGCUGAUAACUUAAUCAUCAAAUGAUUUAUGCUUUUUUGUGGCACAAAUUUACUGAGGAAACUAAAUCUCCGAGGUCAUCUCGAGGGCUGAAGUAAUGUCUUGCUAUUGGACCCACUUGACUUUUUGCAGGUCUGCCAUAAAUUCGCAUGCUUGAUUCACUGACUUAGGCAUUAACUUCUUGUGUAGGAAGCUUCAGUCCACCAUCAGGCUAUUUUCAAUCGUCUUGCAGACGAAUAGUUAGGAGAUUUAUGUGAGAAAUCACAUGUUUGACUUAUGUUCGUUGAGUACAGCCGGGAACUAUUGUAAUUUGCAUAGCACCCCACUCACCCGGGGCGGGGUUUGUUCUCGAGCCCGAAGUGUGGUUACACAUCCGUUACGUGCGCAAAACUCAGCUUUCACGCCAUGUGUUUCGACCGUCUUCCGAAAAAGAGUCUCUUGGCUUCUUCUUUGCGAAAGAAAUAAUCCCAAAUUAUGUCUCAUAUUCUUAGAUCGAUGAAAGAGUCGUUUAGAUCUCUGACAUUGCCUUCUAAAAAAUUUUCGUUCGCUUUUAGUCAACAUUCCUCAUGCAUGUUUUAACGCCACAUCAAGGUUGCAAGCCAUGUGGCGUCGCGAGUUUUCGCGUGCAAAACGAAUCGGAUGCUUUAACGAAACGUUCGGCGGAAUCGUGUCAGAGCACAAUCUGAAUCGUAAGGGAUUCGUGUCGAAUCCCAAUUCUCUAGCCAUCACAAAAUAAGGCCGCAACACUAUUGUGUUCGAGGUGAGUGUUUAUUCCAGAGUCUGGAUCAAUCCACCGAUAAACCUAAGUAGCAGUUUUGUAAUCCCUCGGCGUGGUUUUUCUCUGAGGGAGGGUUCAUGUUGUAUGCUUGAACAUGUGAAUUGAUCGUACGAUAGGUUUAGGGGAUUUUAUAGAAGGCUGCUCUCCGCGGAUGUGUUGCAUUCUCAAGAGUUUGAAUCCUCGGCUUGUUUACUGAUUGUCUGUUUAAGACCGACAUGAGACGCACGCGAUAAUCAGAAAUACUUACUAAAAUUACUAUUCGUAUAUUUGAUCGUUUGAAAUAAGAAAGCUAAGAACAGCCAUUAAAAAAAACCGUGUAUAUGUUGACAGUUAAGUCUUGGAGAAUGAGUACAAAUUUGCAAACAUCAGUCGAGGUUACUGCUUCACUCAUGCAAGUAUUGACUUUCGAAGACAUGAAUACUUGAAUACUACGUUCGUUUUAUUUCCUUGUUUUCAAGCACAGUUCUUUACUGGCGGCUUUUGAGAUAAGUUCUUUACAGGUAUAUUUUUAUCGUUUGACAGGGUGUUAGAUGCUAAAUAUAUCUUGACAAUUCCAGACAGAUAAAUCAGACACAGUUACAUCUCAAAUCAUUAUGAAUAAAUCACUUCUCUGAAUAUUUGUUGGCUCAAAGAUGUACUCACAAACAAAACAAGAGAAAUGUAUUUCCAGUUUGCUACUUCCAGUUUGAACUGUUUUGUACAUAUUUAAGUUUAGAAAUGGACAAAAUCUUCGAGGUAAUGCUCUGACAUAACCAGGCUCUUUAUAAGACAAUCAAAAUUCUAGUACCAUGAAGACAUUCAUUGACAAGUAAAAUGAAAAAGGGUUCCUUUCCCAGAAAUUUACCAUUUCUUUAGUUAAAUUCUAUUUUAAGUUCCUUAUUCUUGAGUCAGAGGAUUAUUUUUAGCUUUUAGAAAAAAACUGUGAGAAAGAUUUGCUUCUCUGACUGGGUACAACAGUUGCAGACAGAUCCGCCAGACAUCUCCAUCAUUGUUUAAGGACUGUAUAACUUUAGCUCAGCUGUGAAUUCUUACUAGUCUAAAUGUUUUAUGUUUUUCAUAUCACCUCCUUGAAGAUGGAAGGAAAUAGCCUUUUGAUGUAUGUCAAGAACGAGCUAAUGUGCAUUAAAGAGACGAAGACUAAAUUAAGCAUUGGAUUUAUUUUUCUUUCCAGGCUCAUACAUUAGCGGUUGUGAUUCGAGUUUCGAGUAUGGUGUUUGGGUGAGCUCGUUUUCAAAUACCCUUUACCAAAAUUCUCUUGAAAAAGCUCACUUACAUGGCAUUUAAAGGAAAAUCGGUCGUAGAGAAAACAUAUUUAGCGUUUUUAUGAGGGAACGUGAUUCUAUGGUACAAUGGCGAUGGAUGUUUGAUCAAAGCAACUGACAAUGCCAACUUCAAAGCACUGAUAAGACUCUCUUUUCUCCACCCGCUUAGGCCUGAUCUUUUUGCUUUGCAAACCUCAAUCGUGUGCCAAGAAGAAGCACAGUAUCCUGCAACACAUUCAGAGAUAUUUUUUAGUUUAUUGGAGCCAAAUUCAUGAAACAUAAUAUAAGCGAGGAAAGUUUUUGUUGAAUGGACAUGUUAGAAUGAUCAUCAAACGCACAUCUCGUUGCAUGCAGGUAUUUUAAUUCCUCUUGCAUCUUUUUUUGAAGUUACCGAAUGUUUUGAGCGCAUUUCCCUUCGAUUGAAGGAGCUAUCAUUUUUUUGCAGGUGAAAACAUAAUGUUUUACACUUAAAUGAUGUUUUGGAACAAUAGGGUGUCUGAUGUUGAGUGCACAUUCUGAACAAUAAGAUCAUCAGUUUUAAGGUCGUUGAAGGACAAUUGUUUGCAAUGUCACCUCUCUAUCUAUAUUCCAUUUAGCUGAAGGAAAGAACACGUUGAUUUUUCGUUUUAUUUUGUUUUGUGUUUGAAUAAUUUGCAAUUUCGACUUUACAAGGAGGGCGAAAAUUUUUAAUUUCUUAGCCCUAUGUAUUUCCACGGAGGAGGAGAGGUCUUGCUCAGGAUUUAGUCUUCCUUUCAUACAUGACAUCUGAAACAUUGCAGAAUCAAGCUGGAAACAAAAUUUUUGUUGUUCUGAUGCUUUUCCUUCUAUGAAGAUACCGAUAUGAAUUAAAUCUGGUUCUAACAAAUAUAUACCAUGGAGCAAAUGUACUUAAGUGACAUGAAGUAAACGUCUUUGGCAAGGUUUUAGGAUUUCUUCGUCGAUGGAGGCUUCCUAUACAGCUCUGUUUAGACAAAUCCAUUCAAAAAGAGAUAUCUUGAUGUGGUUACUCUUUUUGCAACCAAAGGUGGACCGAAAAUCUCUGACAAGACCAUGGAACAAUGUCAAGAUUUGAUAUAAGCGAUCGAGAAAAUGACACUUCAUUUUGCCUGAUUUCAACAGUCAAUUGCUGAGAAACGAGAAGCGUCUACUAUGAAAGAGAAAAUGAUAAAUGAUAUUUAAAAUUGUCUUGUUGGAGCUUCAAAUCGUGCUUUAGCUUAACGAGUUUUAAUACAUCAGUGUUUAUAGCAAGUGUAUUCGUUCAGUGAUGAAGACGUGUUGUCUUCUUACAUGGCUUCUAUAGGUAAGAGAGAGAGGGAGAGAGAGAGAGUGGCUAUUCCAAUCUAAUUUUUCUUUCAGCCAGACAAAAUAUCAGGUAGCAACGCUUAGAGCUCAAUUAUACUGGAAGGAAAGCUAGACUGAAUAUGCUCUUCAAUGUUUUUUGUUCCGAAAUUGGUGUAGGAAGUUGUGGUAUGAUAGCCUUACGCUGCAUUGAUUCAACGACCCGUGUAUGACAAACCUUGCUUUUUGCCGUUUUGUGUUCAGCAUCGUCGAGAGAUUUCAGACCAGAAAUUCUUAAUCAGGGCUCAGAGAUGCUAAAAGUUCGAACGAAGAAUGGCGAUUGAUAUCUCUCAGCUUGAAAUAAGCUCCACAAAAGAUUUACGACGCUUUUGAUGAACUAUACUGAGAACAGUUGCAUGUUGUUACAGAUCUAGACGACUCCAUACCACCGCACACCUGACGUUACGCAUUUAUAUCCAAUUCUUGCAAAGUGAAACCAUGCACAAAUGGAAAGUUCUCUAAAGAAAAGAAGUUUACCUUUCAAACCGCCAAACUCAAUUAGCAAGGGGAGAUUUUGUUCGAAGCAACACUGAGAAACGCCCCUAGACAUAAGAUACCAUAAUAAUCAUUCAAGUUUGCAUAUUCUUGCCUAAUAAGGAAGGUUUUAUAUAUUUCUUCAAAGCUUCAGGAUCCAAGGCUGGUAAAGGAGGGUGAUAAGGCGAAACUUUGUAGCAGAGUGUUCAUGUUGCUCAUGUAACUAUGGUUAGUUUUCGGUUUUGAAUAUAGUUAUAUUUUUUCCACGUGGGUGACUGGUUCACUUCGGCGAUGUAUUCCUGUUGGAACCCCAUGCUCAACUUUGAAGAAGACGUCUACAGCACAGGCUGAAUACACAAUUUAUUCGUGCAUCCUUUCAAGAUCCUCCUCAUCACAUUUUUAUUGAAUCCAGCGAAGGUUUACGGAAUCUGAAUCAACCCACAGUCGACGAAAUACUCAGCCCCAGUAAUCGUUCAAAUUGACGCUAAUGAGCGAACACUUUGGUGAAGGCAAUUUCGUGUAUUGGCUGAAAAUUCUUUUCUUUCAAAAUCCUUUCUUUCUUUGAAGUACGCAUUGGUUUUAAAUUCUGAAUGUAGAUCUUCGCUUUAUCACUUCUGCGAGUUUGCAGGGUUUUCAAAAGCAAACAACUUGGUGUCGAAGUCGACCUUGUUUUCGUGUUUUGGGGGAACGGAAGCCUCGCCCUCUGGGACGCCAUAUAACAAGACGAUAUGUUACUUAAAGACACAACUUUUAAGGCUUUCUGUAAUGAAAAAGAGCACAUCUAAAGCUAAUACAAAAACUAUCUUGAAUGGUCUUUUUUUUUCUGUAUUAGCAAACAGUGAAGACAAGCUUUCAAAUGUCUAAGUCAUGUUGACACCAGUUCAUGUUGCAAGUUAUAGAGUUCUCACCAUAAAUAGGAAAUCGCGCUCACUAAGUUGUCGAGGGAAAAGCGCUCGAGAAAAUCAAACCUAUCAAUCGAUUAAGAAUGAUUUUUAAUUAAUAGCGGUAGGGAAACGACUUAUUACAGUUCAUAAAGCGGCAAUGUAGAUGUUUCACUCGUCGCGAAACAAUAUCCAUGUCGUCUAGUCAUGCAAUAACUUAAAACUGACAGCACAGAAAUCGUGAGAAGUUAUCUCACACCAUUACAUCAAGUCGGCUUUCAUAAUGGACUUUCUUUCUAACAGCAAUCUUUGAACACGAGAUAGACUAGAGAGAACAAACAUUGACUUUAGCAGAAGGCGGUGUACUGUGUGAAGAGAUACGUAAUACAUAUUAAUAUGCCCUGUACACACGUGGUCAAAAUCUCUAUUAUUCAUGCACUAAUUUUCUUAAUAAAGGCUGGCAAUCACAUUGUCAGUAAAGAAAACAAUAUAAGAAAACAGUCACAGAAGGUUUCAGCGGUUCACUUGAACCCGUAGAUCCGAACUUGUGGGAAUUUUUCACCACAGGUUCGUAUUUAUGGUCCACGUGUACUGCAAUGAAGUAAACCUUUCUUCACUUUCAAACAACUGUUCGUUGUUGCAACAUUAGUUUACACUGGACAAUAGAAGUUGCACUUCGUUCGGAGACAAAGGAGAAAGUUGCAACACUACGAUGUUUAACCACAUUGAGUUUUACACAGAUCAUUUUAAGUGUUACUUUUUGCAGCUAGCUUUGUCUUCCUUUGACAGCGCUUUAAACCGUAGUCAUGGCUUACAAUAGGAUGCACACUGUGAAUCGCUUAUCUGCAGCUGUUCUUUUGUUUAAUUUAAUGAAUAUGAAUUAUAUUUUAAUGUUCAAUGGACUAAGUUUCUGCAGUUUACUCACGGGACGCACCGUCGCGCCCAAUACCAUGUUUUAGAUAAGUCCUUGUUAGAUUCCAACUGGACUAAGGCUCACAGUUCAGCUGGAUAAUUUAUCGACAGUGAAUACGUUUUUUACACAUCUUUAUAUAUUUCAAAGAAAAUUCGUUAAGCAUAUUUUAAAAGUUAGCGAGCUACACGACUGAUUUCUGGCAUGCACUCUCCCUAUAGGCAAGACUGCGUACGUCAUUUAUCUCCAUAGCUAGCCCAGCAAACCCCAAAUAUAAUUUCAAUAUAUUCAUGGCAUAAUAAGUCUUUCACCUCUAGUUAUGUAAAGACCACAAUUAGGCAAGUUUAUUUUUACCAACGAAAAAUCCAACCACGUUUUGUAGGCAGGUAGAGGUAGGCGUCUAAGAAUAGUAGAACUCUUCUCUGUCACCAAUUUUUACUUUGUAUGUUGAUGAAUUCCAGAAUAAAACACGAACAGACAGUAA
rnacentral:lncRNA from 1 species